CUGGAAGGAAUGGAGCAAGGAUCCACCCCUUCCUAGACUCUAAGGGUUGGCAGUGGAAGCGAGGACAUCUUUUACUGGAGAUCCCUGCCUACCUGAGGCCUUCCAAAGCACACACGCUGGGGCACAGAUAGACAAGUGGAAAAUCGAAGAGGAAGGUUUUGAAGAGAGAAGAGGCAUCAUCUGGGGGAGCCCCAAGAGGAGCUGGGCAGGAGUCUACAGGACGGACUGCAGUGUAAGAGGUGGGAGCCAGUAGGAUGCCAUUCCAGCAGCUGUCGGCUAGAAAUAGUCAGCAUUACCAAAGUCUCUAGUCUGAUGGCAUCUUUCCAGAGAGUGAUGAACAGGUCAGAUCAGCAACCAACUUUUUAUCCAUUGACAUACAGACUGACUGAUGGAAACUUCUAACAGCCUUAAGACUUUAAGCCUCAGUACAAGAGUUUACAUCAGACCCUUCACAGAAGGGGAAAGCCGUUUAAUCCCAG
rnacentral:lncRNA from 1 species